CAUGCUGCUCACUUUCUCCCAUGUGACCACACUCAGUCUGUACACGGCCUUUUCUCUUGCUCAUUGUCUUUCGUACCAAUAGACUAGGAUUUGAUUUUCCAGAUCUGCCCAAGGGCUUUGCUUCCUCUCCCUUCUCCUCAUCAUCGUGAGUUGUGAGUUUAUGCCUCUAAAGAAGCCCCCUUACGGGGCAGUCACUGAGCCCAAGGGCCUUGGUGGCGAUUCCCGAGCAGGAGGGUCAGGGAGAGACGCGAAGGUGGAGGCUGGUCUCCUGUGUGUAGAGCACUGCUAGGGCUGCUGACCCGGAAUGCCAGGGCAACCAGCCGGUGAGGCCCAGCUUGUUUCAGACGACAAGCUGUGUGGCGAGCGGUUUCCAUGUGGCCUUCGGUAAGUGAACCCCUUUCCCUCCCAGCUUCUGGUCUGAACACGCUCCCCCUCCCGCGGAUCCGAACACGCUCCCUCCCCCAGAGAAGCUGCAAGAACAGACCCCGAGCCUCUCACCUAGACUCCCCGAGGGCACAUGCCUUCCCUCUUCCCGAGCCAUAUGGAAAACUAGACACUGCCCGAGAGCGAGGACACCCCCGCGGUCCCUGGGGAAGGUUUCGUGGACUCGCUGGGACCUCGCGUGGGGCCCACUCCUUCCCCCCAACCACGCCCCCUCGUGGGAGCCCCCAGCGACUGGCUGCAGUCCAUCUGGGGAAGGGUCAGCUCUGCCCAGCAGGGGGCCGGCCUCCCGCCUCCCCACUGGCAGUUACUGUGGGACUCGGGGUGGCCUGCCAGGGGCCACGUGACCCCCCUCUUCCCCAGACUCCGACUGUUUGAUCCACUAAGGUCAUUGCUGUCUUGGGUGCUUACCUGAUUCCCAGUUUGGCUUCUGUGUCACUCUGAUGAGUCCUUUGCAAUGUCUGAGCCCUUACGUGCUUCCUGGAACAAGAAACUCCGACCCCCGGGCACCUCUGCUCGGGGCCUGGAAUCAGCCCUUCUCCAAGGAGUCUGGGGGAGUUGAUGCAGAUGUGUAGACAGCAGUGGCUCCUGAACGUAGGCCUGAGAGUUCGUGAGGAACACGGUGGGCUGUGCUGUGUGCAUGUGUGGAUGCCGUCAGUACUCACCAGGCUAGAAAUUGCAACGGAGAUACAAAAUAUGUUAGUUAACUUAAAAGAAUAACAAACCCGUCAUAUGUUAACACAAAUAACACAUUUUAAUGACAAGUAACUUUCAUUUUCAAAAGCAAGCUCUUUGGCAAAUUUACAAUAGAGCGGGAAAAGUGAGGAGUAUGUUAGUAGUCUUUCUGAAUAAUUAUGGAUAAUUUUAGGCAACAGCAAAACCCGGUAAGUUGCAGAUUCUUACAAGUCAGUUGCAAAGCGGAAUAGGAAACCAUGUCAAUAACAAUGAUGGAUACAGGUUUUCCAAAAUUCAAGCUUCCAGGUGAAAAUGUGAAGUUUAUCACUAGCAACAGACGCUGUCCGUCCAUGUGCAUUGCAUAUUACACAUUAUCACACGUAAUUAUGUAUCACAGUCCAUAACAUGUAUGUGUGUGUGGAGAUGUAGCUAAAACGAUUGUUGGAGGUGUAAAUUCAGGAUGAACUCCUGGAAGAGUAGAGGCCAGACCAGAUAGUAAACGCGGGGCUGUUUGCUGGGUAUUUCUGGAUUAUCUUGGGGGCCGUGCUGUGUGAUUCCAAAGGUUUGUCAUCAAAGCUUUGUUUUUGUGAAGCUCUUUGAUUUCUUUCCAGUCUGGUCUGUGAAGUUGCAAUCAGGUUCGAGCAAACUGCUCCUUCUGUGUAUUUUUCCCUCCCGGACAACCAACAGAAAAACUGGUACAAUUAUAUUUUUCGUAGUUUCCUUUCCACCUGCACUGAAGACAUUCAGGUGACCUUCUGUGGAAGGACUCCCAGUGAGGACAAAAAUAGGAAACAGAGGCCAGCCCGUUGCCAGGCCGCAUGCACCGCCUGCCCCCAGCGCACGAAUGUUUGCACAAAGUCCUGCUCUCAGGGGCACAUUUGCGUGGACAGUCAAGCAUCCCCUGUGUCCAUUUUAGACCUCCCAUGGGUCUCUGAGCCUCUCGCUACAUUUUAUUUUCUCCAUUGAAGAAAACAAGACAUGAAAUUGUAAAGGUUUAAAGUCCGACCCAAAGCGUUUCUGCGCUUGGGUUAAUUUGUCCCACCUGACAAUCCUCAGUGGAAGGAAGAUGGAAAACCAAAGUCCACGGUCACUCAUGGCCACAGGCAUCCUGCCUCCAACCCUCAGGGUCUCAGCACCUCCAACGGGCAAGCACACAGUAGGAGCUUACUCAGUGCAGCCUGCCCUGUACAGGUGACAGCACGUGAGUGGGCGGGGCGCUGGGGUCCUGCGGGGGUCAGGAGACCCCCCCCCCCCGGUGCCUGCAGGUACCCAGCACACUGCAUGCAGUGGGAAGAGCCAGAUGGUCCCCCGCACCUGGGAUGGCACCCAGGCCCCGCCCAGCUGGGCCACUGCUCCACCCAUCUCGCGGGCACGAGGUCGCCCUGCUCUUGACGGAAGGAUCGGUGUCCCCGGCAGGGUCUGAACACCGCAGGCACCUCCUCACUGCGACAGCUCCACGACGUGGCCCCUGGGAGGCGAGCCUUGCCAGCUCCACGUGCCACCCUCAGCCACGCACCAAGGGCGGGGGCUCCAUACUUCACAGGCCAGAGAUGUGGCGGCUGCCCCUCGUCCCCUCUGCUGGGAGGCGCCUGCGGCCCCUGCGGAGCUUUCUCCUGGGUCUCUGGCCAUUCGGCACCUCGGACCAGCCCUCUUUCUUCUCCAAUUGUUCUCCGCCCACUACGGGCUGCCCCUGCCCCCCAAAGCCCACGCUGAAGGCCCGUCCCAAGUGUGGCUGUAUUUGCAGGUGGGGUCUCUGAGGAGCCAGAGAGUGAGGUCACAGGGUGGGGCCGGGGCCCCUGGGCUGGUGCCCUUGUGCGCAGAGGAGGGACGACAGAGCCCCUGUGCCUGAACUCAGGCCUGGACGAGGGCUCACCGCACACCAGCCGCACCUCGGCUGCCAGGGCUGUGAGGAACAGACACUUGUUCCGGCCUCCCUGCCAUGGUGUCUUGGCCGGGACAGCAAGAGGCUGAGAGCCCUUCCCCGUGGGGCCCUCUUCCUUCGCCUCUUCCUUAGCUGCUGGCCUCCUCCACAGGCCCCUCCGCUCUGCUCCUGCACCCCACGGGCCUCCUCACUCCAGCCUGGGCGUCCUCUCCCUCGCCACGCGCCCGUGCCCGCGCACCCACACUGAGUCAAGUUCAGUGGAAUCGUGAGACACAAGCCACAUUUUAUUAAUGGAUAGAACAUGCCGGAAAGUCCCAUUUGUCUUUUGUCAGUUUGCCAAGCGUACGGCAGCCAAAUAACAAGACCAUUAAAAGCAGCUCUUAUGUCACAA